GAGAGGAGGUACAGGAAAGAAGGUGACAGACUAACAGGAUCUGUGGUGAUAGAAAAAGAGGAAAUAGUUUCAAGCUUAAAGAGGGUAUCGUGUGGCAAAACAAGCAAUAAUAAUAAUAAUAAAGAUAGGCCAGAUGAAAAGCCUCAUUUCUGUUGGAUGGAAGUUCUGUGGGAGAGGCUUCUGAGCACCACAUGAUGCUGCAGAGGAAAAACCUCUCACCCAACAGAAAAGUGCCGUGAAGAAGCACUUCCCUCCUAGCCCAUCAAUUCACCCUUGGCAGCAAUCCUGAGUGGACAGUCACAGAGAGCAGAUGUUGGCAAACCUAUCUCAGGAGACCAAAUUUCCAUCCCCCUGUUGGAUGUGCUCCAUACCAUGGAUGUAUGCCGACUGCUGCAUCACAUUUCCAUGCCCCAUGUUUCCAUAAUCCAGUGGUCUGUCUCCAUACUCCCACACGUAAAUGCAGACUUGCCUCAUGCUGCAGUAACAGGUGCAUGAGUGAUCUUACCAGACACCUUCUCUACAGCUUCCUUCUUCUGAUAUUGCUGUUUCCUUGGCAAACAGGGACCUGGGGCAGGCAAGGGGCAGUGAAGCCUCUCUACAAGGUCCACUUUUUGAAAGGUGAGAGAUUGCCCUCUAUAGAUAGUCAUGGCUUUGGCUUUCCCCAAGUGCCCUUGAAGUCCCUGCCCACGCUCUUUGCACUGAUGAACUGCUGAGUGCCACUGGGGUGGCUAAGUGCUGAUGUUAGCCCUUGGGGACAGGAUAGACCCUCUGCUUUUCAGAAACAGAAACUGAAAUGAAAGCUCUCAGUUCAGUUAUGAGGGCUGAGCACCUGGCCCUAUUAUUAAGAAGUCCCUAUAGUGCAAUUCAUCCUUCAGUUGAAGGCAGCCUUACAUGCGAUUUUCCUGCCUACUGCAAUCUUUAGUACCUUGAGUAGAACCAGGAGAUACACCUGUUCUGCAUCCCCUGAAGCAAUGCUGCCUGUUACUUCCCAUCCAGGGCAGCACGUUCCGUACCCCAGUAUCUGUACUAUUCUGUAUAUCUAUAUCAACACAGACUUAGGGAUGUGUCAGAUCAAAUUAUCUCUGUAGCCUAAAAUUGUCCACACAGCUGCUACAGAAACCUAGAGGUGACCAGUGCCUUUUGCUGGUGCAGAGUGAUAUUCAGCUGCACAGAUACCUAUGUACACACACAGAAUCCUGGAACAGCUGAGGUUUUCAGGUCCCUCUAGGAGCCUCUGGUCCAAUCCCCUGCUCAAGAAGGGACAUGCAGAGCAGGUUAACCCACUUACAUUGGUUUCCCUGCACGUGAGUGUCUAUGUGAGGGCUGGUGUCAGCUCCCAGCAGUCACCAGAGAUAGGAUGAAGGAUUUGGUUGUCUGAGACCUCUUGAAUACUUUCAGGACAUCAGCAAGCAGCCAGCAGAUGUACCUUGAGACUUAUGGGAGCUCUGUGUUCCUCCAAAGCAGCAGAUGAUCAUAGCUUAAGGCAUUCACGUGGCACUGGAUGUUUAAGCAGCUGAAGG